rnacentral:rRNA from 1 species
GGAUACGGUCAUACCAGCACUAGAGCACCGGAUCCCAUCAGAACUCCGAACUUAAGCGUGCUUGGGCGAGAGUAGUACGAGGAUGGCCGCCCCCCCUCGGGAAGUCCUCGUGUUGCAUUUU